GUCUGUUUUGCUUUCCAACUUGUCCAGUGUGCUCCUUCCCAGGUAUUCUUCACUGCAGCCAGCUCCUCCGAGCAUUUGGUGUGAGAGGGGCUCAAGCUAUGGGAAUCUUGAGAUCUCUGGUGCCACCAGGUGAGACUUCAGCUCAGAGAAGGAAUCAGCCCUCCUGAAGCCCAGAAGCUCCUCUUUGCCAGCACAAUGGAACUUGUUGGGAUUCAGAAUCAGUCUGAAACAACAGCAUGCUACAGGACCAUGUUUUAUCUCUGUGGAAGCUAUCACAUGAAAAUGAAUUUAAACACACAUAAGGUGACUUCUUUCACUGGUCUUCCAAGUUGAACAGCCUCAGUGUUAAUCUGAACAGUUUGGAAUACCUUGACUCUAGCUGAAUGAAGAUGCUUGCCAAAGCCACAGUUGUUUCCACAGUAUUACAAUAUUGCUUGGGCUGAAAUUGGGAGGUGAUAAAAAUAAUAUUAUUGGUAAUAUUGUUUUAGAGCAUAUAUUCAUUAAUGAGAUCCCAAAGUAAUAUAUAAGCACAAAUGUUUUAUCUGUUUAUAUCCUUAGGCCAGCUUAUUCAUGUAGCCUAUCAUAUAAUUCACUAUUUUCUCUGAGAUAUUUGGUAUUUAUUAGCAAUUCCUGAGUGAAAAAGAAACAAGAAAAUCUAAGGCUUAUGAUGGUAGGGCCAGCCAUUCAUGUUUUUUGAAUAGAUACAUUUCUAGAAAGAAGUACAUUUCUUUGAGUGUAUUUACUAAAAAUAAACUAGAACAUAUGUAUUAUAUUUGUGAAACAUCCUCCUUCUUCUUUCCUUGUAAGCAACCCACAUUGCCAGGAUAUGAAAACAUGCAUUUAAAAAUAAUUUGUAAUCAUUGACAGUUUUAUAGUAGAGCAUGUAUCAGAGUGACCAGUGGCCAUCCUCUGUAAUGACUGGCUAGUUGUUUAGGCAAAAACAAAUAUACACACACCCAUACACAUGUUCUCCAGAACAUAAACCAGGCUCAUGGCCAACUGCAGCCACUGGCACUAAGCUUAUCAAACAGAUCUUGGGAAGAACAUUUCUUCAUAUAGAUAGACUUACAGGUAAUCAUGCACAGUUUUCAUGGAAAUAUUUCUAAUUCUCAGUGCAGACAAGAACACAUACAUAAAUAAAAAUUAGA